GAUUAACGCUGGCGGCGUGCAUAACACAUGCAAGUCGAACGAUGAAACUUUAAUGAACCCUUCGGGGAGAAUUAAAGCGGCUUAGUGGCGAACGGGUGAGUAACGCGUGAGUAACCUGCCUUACACAAGGGGAUAGCCUUUGGAAACGAAGAAUAAUACCCUAUAACACCAUACAAGCACAUGCAAUUAUGGUCAAAGUGAUAGCGGUGUAAGAUGGACUUGCGUCUGAUUAGCUAGUUGGUGAGAUAAAAGCCCACCAAGGCAACGAUCAGUAGCCGGCUUGAGAGAGUGUACGGCCACAUUGGGACUGAGACACGGCCCAGACUCCUACGGGAGGCAGCAGUGGGGAAUUUUGCACAAUGGGGGAAACCCUGAUGCAGCGACGCCGCGUGAUUUAGAAGGCCUUCGGGUUGUAAUAAGCUUUUGUAUAGGAAGAAAAUGACAGUACUAUACGAAUAAGGUCCGGCUAAUUACGUG
rnacentral:rRNA from 1 species